UACGUAGGGUGCAAGCGUUGUCCGGAAUUAUUGGGCGUAAAGAGCUCGUAGGCGGUUUGUCGCGUCUGCUGUGAAAACCCGAGGCUCAACCUCGGGCCUGCAGUGGGUACGGGCAGACUAGAGUGCGGUAGGGGAGAUUGGAAUUCCUGGUGUAGCGGUGAAAUGCGCAGAUAUCAGGAGGAACACCGGGUGGCGAAGGCGGGUCUCUGGGCCGAUACUGACGCUGAGGAGCGAAAGCGUGGGGAGCGAACAGG
rnacentral:rRNA from 1 species